GACGAACGCUGGCGGCGUGCCUAAUACAUGCAAGUAGAACGCUGAAGGAGGAGCUUGCUUCUCUGGAUGAGUUGCGAACGGGUGAGUAACGCGUAGGUAACCUGCCUGGUAGCGGGGGAUAACUAUUGGAAACGAUAUCUAAUACCGCAUAAUAGUAGAUGUCGCAUGACAUUUGCUUAAAAGGUGCAAUUGCAUCACUACCAGAUGGACCUGCGUUGUAUUAGCUAGUUGGUGAGGUAACGGCUCACCAAGGCAACGAUACAUAGCCGACCUGAGAGGGUGAUCGGCCAAGCUGGGACUGAGACACGGCCCAGACUCCUACGGGAGGCAGCAGUAGGGAAUCUUCGGCAAUGGACGGAAGUCUGAACGAGCAACGACGCGUGAGUGAAGAAGGUUUUCGGAUCGUAAAGCUCUGUUGUAAGAGAAGAACGAGUGUGAGAGUGGAAAGUUCACACUGUGACGGUAUCUUACCAGAAAGGGACGGCUAACUACGUG
rnacentral:rRNA from 1 species